rnacentral:lncRNA from 1 species
UGACAAACUUUCCCAACAUCACCAACAGCAAAGUACUUAGCAUCACAAAAUAGCUAUUAACACUGAUCUUGGCAGGGACCGACUUAUAUUCAGCAGUUUUUGUGGAAAGCAGUAAUGCUUGCAAAAAUGUGUGUGUCAUUCAGCAUUUAAUGGAGACUAUGCAUUUCAUAGUAUGUCUGACAGAUUAGUACUGUGUCCUGUGUUUUGUUCCAACAUUUUCAGUAUGAAUAAGCUCUAUUUCAAAAAGUUGCCUGUCUAAGUAGAAAAUGUCUUGCUGUGUUUUGUCCUAUGGAAAAUACUGUACUUCAGGAUUAUGUUUACAAUUGAUCCAGGUGUUUGUUUCUAACUUCUAUAAUACAUACAAUGCAAAAAAAAAAAAAAAAUGGCCACAACAGUUGCACAGUGCCCACCCUAUGGCCUAGCUUCAGGUACUUCAGUUGAAGUCUAAACUCAGGUAACUUGGAAUGUAUGUCAUAUUGGGAUAUUAAAUAUUUCACAGCUACAAAGCUAAAGAGGGAACAUCACUCUUUUGCCUUUCCUUGUUUUAUGCAUUUCCUUUUCUUCAUUCCAUUCCACACUAGAAUAAGAAGUGCAUUGAUCCCUAGGAGAUGCUAAUCCUGGGUAUAGGGAACAUGAGGAGAACCAGCAAAUUUGUGGUGUGUGACAUCACUUUUGUCAUGUGGUUACCAGUAGAACAACUGUUGCAUUCACUGUUUCAACAUGUGUAAAUGUGGCUUUUUUUUUUAAAAAAAAAGAAAAAGAAAAAAGAAAAAACAAGUUGUGUUGCUCAGUGACUGACUGUUACAGUGUUGCAAAUAAAGCCUCAGUAGUAGCCUACAUAAACAUUCCCCAUUGCGUGUGACGAAAUUUAAAUGCAGGGAUGGCUGGAGUUCAUUUCAAAGCAAGUGGCGUUUUGCAGAAAUAAAUAAGGAUUUUUCUUUAUAUUGGCCAUUGGGGUCAUAAUUGCUACUAUUUUUAUCUAAAGACAUAUUUAUGUUUAGCUUCAUUUUAGGAAAUUGUAAUUUUCUGGUUACAAAGUGAAACAUUUUGGUUACUGUUUUCCUCAAGUAUUUGGUAAAUGAGUUGUAUUCAUGUAGAGAGAAUGUGUAUGUCUCAGAACCAGUGCAGCAUAAGCAAGCAGAUUUCUUGUUGACUUUCGAGAGCAAUAGCUUAAAGCUGUCUCAUUUAAGCCUCAGAUAACACUAUCAUGAAUAAUUUUGUUAAGACGUAGAACGCAUGGAGUGGAGCAGAACCCCGAGUAAAUAGCCUUGAACUUGCAGACUUGACAGAAGUUCUCCACAAAGUGCAUAGAAGAGAGCCAUAGAGAUUCCUGUUGCCACCUGGAGAGCCCGACUUCAGACUUUAUUUUUUUGCAGCACAGCCUGUGCAAAAGUAAAGGGACGCUUUUGUAUUGGUGUUCCGUUGCUCUCAGUUCAGUUAGAGCCUAGAGUUCUCCCAUCUCCACCUAACGUGUGUGGCACAAUGUUUGGUUUGGUUGGUUUUUAGAGUCGGGAACCGCUGCCUACAGUUACUCUUCAGUUUUCCAUAGGUCAUACCUGCGGUUUCCUUUGACUCCUCUAAGGAGUCAACGAGUAGAAGGAUGAGCUGAUAAAGUGAUGAUACCGUGUUAAUUUUUACAAAAUGCUGUGCGUGAGUGUGCAUACACGUGCACAUGGAUGUGUGGAUGUGUGUAUUCUGUGUGCUAUUUUGUCACCUUGAUGUCUCCUUUCCACCAAAGUUUGCAGUAAUACUCUCUUCUGAAGGUACGCAGUCAGUGUUAUAGAGACUGUCAUGGAGAAGAGGACUCAGUUGACUUUUGCCAUUUUCAUAGGGGAACCUUUUAAAACAAUCUUUUCAGCAGCAGACACCUUUAACCCUAAUAAUCUCAGGCCUUGAUGAAAAUACUAUAUUUUGUAGAUUAUGGUUAAAGGAAGAAAAUUGCUAGUUCCGUAAGAUAAAUAUGAGCUCCAUUUAACUUCUUUUUUUUAAGCCUCUAACAAUUUUAUUGUAAGUAAACAAAAUUAUGUGUACUUGUUUUAUUCGGCACGUGAAAACAGAUAUUUACAGAUAUAAAAAACUCGUAUUGACAGACGUUUAAAUGGACAGAGUCAAGUUGAUAGAAGCAUGACACAAAUUUGGUAAAGCAAAUCUCAGAUACUGACACUGAAGCAAGUGCUCUCAGAUCCAUCAAACAGACCACAGCCCUCCCUUGCCAAAACUCCAAUCAAUUCUAUCUUAGUAUCUAAGAUAGACAUCCUGUUUGUUUUUCAUAAGUCAAUCUUGGCACUUUUAUGAACAAUUAGUUCCUCUAUUCACAAAAGGCAUCAUAAUUAUUUUUACUUUCUUAAAGUUUGAGGGUUUUUUGGUUUUUGUUUUAAGUAGCCAAGAUCUACAGUUGAUCUUCUAAAAGGUCACGAUCUUAGUAAGUUCUUUUUAGUUACAGGCAAAGGACCCACUUUACAGUUGGCUUUUAGGAUCUUGCCAUUCAAACAGUCUUUGUUGUUAUGGUAAGCACACAGACACUUUGUACAAUAUUCAAAUUGACAGCUUUCCCGUUUGCAGACUGCUCGCUCUAAAUAGUGGUCAUAUUUUGCAGGGAAAUUAUAGCAAGCACAGGCUUUGAGGCUUCCCUUGUUCUUCAAUGUCUGCCACCUCCACGAACUUGUUGUGCCAGCUGUAGGUAGAACCUUUCUGACCACGCUGACUGGAGGACUUGACCUGAACAUCUUUUUUUGGGAGGUGCCCAGGUCGACGAUGACUUUGAACAGAAGUUAGUGCAGGUCUGCCCACAACAUGUCCUCUCGUUGCAGCAUGUAGUGACAACUUACUGCUUUCAAUGACUCUGCAUGGUUUUGCUGUAGAGCUGGACCGCUCCCUUAUUGUUUUCCAGUAUCUUCUUCCAAAUUCUGCUCACUUUAGACAGGUUUAUUAAGUCCGUGCCCCGAGCUUCAUCACAAUGUUAGCCAACAGGUGCACGAAUCCCCUCCGGGAGAGCUCAGCCAGGAGAUCUAGGUGUUCCAGGCCCAUUUUCUUGCCAAUUAUACUUUGCAGUCUAAAGUUGCCGCUGGUGAUAACUUCCUUCAGCAUUUCUCGAUCCACUUUAGGGUUUCGCUUGCCAUUCUUUUUUAGUGUUGAGCAAACCACUCUUUGACAAUGCAGGACAGGCAGCAGGUUUUGUUGGGAUGCUGGUCCAGGCUCUGUGAUGGCAGCAGGCGGGCCUGGGGACUGUUUCUGAAAUUCUCCAGGAUAAGGAUGCCGUCGUCACGGUCACUUUGUGUAAAAGAUGAGUAGCCACUGUCCUCAUACAGUCUACUGGCCUCUAGCUCUUCUGUUUCGUUUGAACUAUCUAGUGUGUUUUGUACACGUUGAUUCUCCUUGCUAUCAUGACCCACAAUUGGUGACUCGAUGAAAGACAACCUCUCAUGGUUUCUAACACAGUCCUUACAGGAAGGUUUCAAACACACGGGACUGUAGGAACCUUCUCUCCCACUGUCCUCAGGCUUCAACCACUUCAAGCUCAGAAAGAUCAGGGUUGCAAUUAAAACACUUCAUUGUAACAGAAAGAACAGGGCUUUCUUCUUUAUGUCCACGGUCGUCCACGCGCCAAGACGGCAGGGACAGAACGACGGCCGGCGCAGAUCACUGCAGGUGUGCCUGCUCAUGCGGGAAAACUCGGGCUCCAGUGCAGGGGAGGUGGCGGCGACCAUAGGAAAGAGGUGGCCGGCCCUCCAUUUAACUUCUAAUAUCUGGGUUAGCAUUACAUGAUGUGUUGAUCUUAUGCUCAGCAUUUGUCUAAGAUGCAAUAGUAUCAUUAUCAAUUUCAGAAAUAUGGACUGAAUAUGCUUUUUUGGUGAUGAAAUCUAUGUACGAUAUUUAUAGUGAUGUGCUUUUAUUUUCUCAUGAGAAACUAAAUAUUGUGUUGUACAUUUGUUUUUAGCAUAUAUUAAAGUUUUAAACCAAAUGUGUUAAAGCUUAUGCUUUGCCAUGCAAAUCCCCCAGAAGUUGGUGAGCUCAAAUGUAUCCUACAUCCAGCUGUAGAAACUUGUCAGAAAUUGUUUAAAUUUUGUAUAUAGGUGACUGUUUAAUUUUAGCCACUGCGCUGAACAGUAUUCAAGUUAUAUAAUAUGGCUUUACACAAGAAAUGUGUGGCUUCUGUUUUGUAUUUUUUUCAGUAUAGAAGUUCCUGUGUCUUAUUUAAAUAAAGUUAUUAGUAAAACUG